CGCCCUCGACCUAUUCUCAAAC
rnacentral:snRNA from 1 species